UACGUAGGUGGCGAGCGUUAUCCGGAAUUACUGGGCGUAAAGCGCACGCAGGCGGUUUCUUAAGUUUGACGUGAAAGCUCUCGGCUUAACUGGGAGAGGUCGUUGAAUACUGAGAAGCUUGAGGCAAUGAGAGGGGUGUAGAAUUCCCGGUGUAGUGGUGGAAUGCGUAGAUAUCGGGGGGAAUACCAGUGGCGAAAGCGGCACCCUAGCGUUAGCCUGACGCUCAUGUGCGAAAGCGUGGGGAGCGAAC
rnacentral:rRNA from 1 species